AUCAACCUACAUAUUUGAUGUUGCAGAUCUUUUGAGAUACCACUAGAAACGGAGUUUGUCUUCAUUAAUGGCUGCCUUUCUUUGAACCAAAUCUUUGUGAAUAUGAGUUCCUUGAGAUAUUAGCGACUCUUAAUGAAUGGAGUUUGUUUGUGGUAGCCCGAAAUGGAAACAAUUGUGUGUGAGAAUUAAGUGGAGUAAAUGUCUAUCUAAUUUUUUUGGUACUGUGGUAGGUGUUCCGUCUUUCUGGAACAGG
rnacentral:misc_RNA from 1 species